rnacentral:rRNA from 1 species
UACGGGGGGGGCAAGCGUUGUUCGGAAUUACUGGGCGUAAAGGGCUCGUAGGCGGCCAACUAAGUCAGACGUGAAAUCCCUCGGCUUAACCGGGGAACUGCGUCUGAUACUGGAUGGCUUGAGAUUGGGAGAGGGAUGCGGAAUUCCAGGUGUAGCGGUGAAAUGCGCAGAUAUCAGGAAGAACACCCGUGGCGAAGGCGGUUCUCUGGGACGGUACUGACGCUGAGACGCGAAAGCGUGGGGAGCGAACAGG